rnacentral:tRNA from 1 species
GGAGGGAAAGCUCAGAGGUUAAGGGCACUGGCAGCUCUUCCAGAGAACCUGGGUUCAAUUCCCAGCAUCCA